UACGUAGGGGGCAAGCGUUGUCCGGAAUCAUUGGGCGUAAAGAGCGCGUAGGCGGCCCUGUAAGUCCGCUGUGAAAGUCAAGGGCUCAACCCUUGAAUGCCGGUGGAUACUGCAGGGCUAGAGUCCGGAAGAGGCGAGUGGAAUCCUGGUGUAGCGGUGAAAUGCGCAGAUAUCAGGAGGAACACCGAUGGCGAAGGCAGCUCGGCUGGGACGGACUGAGCUGAGGCGCGAAAGCGUGGGGAGCAAAGCAGG
rnacentral:rRNA from 1 species